GUUGAACGCUGGCGGCAGGCCUAACACAUGCAAGUCGAGCGGAUGAAGGGAGCUUGCUCCUGGAUUCAGCGGCGGACGGGUGAGUAAUGCCUAGGAAUCUGCCUGGUAGUGGGGGAUAACGUCCGGAAACGGGCGCUAAUACCGCAUACGUCCUGAGGGAGAAAGUGGGGGAUCUACGGACCUCACGCUAUCAGAUGAGCCUAGGUCGGAUUAGCUAGUUGGUGGGGUAAAGGCCUACCAAGGCGACGAUCCGUAACUGGUCUGAGAGGAUGAUCAGUCACACUGGAACUGAGACACGGUCCAGACUCCUACGGGAGGCAGCAGUGGGGAAUAUUGGACAAUGGGCGAAAGCCUGAUCCAGCCAUGCCGCGUGUGUGAAGAAGGUCUUCGGAUUGUAAAGCACUUUAAGUUGGGAGGAAGGGCAGUAAGUUAAUACCUUGCUGUUUUGACGUUACCAACAGAAUAAGCACCGGCUAACUUCGUG
rnacentral:rRNA from 1 species